UGGGGAAUAUUGCACAAUGGGGGAAACCCUGAUGCAGCGACGCCGCGUGAGCGAAGAAGGCUUUCGAGUCGUAAAGCUCUGUCCUAUGAGAAGAUAAUGACGGUAUCAUAGGAGGAAGCCCUGGCUAAAUACGUGCCAGCAGCCGCGGUAAUACGUAUGGGGCGAGCGUUGUCCGGAAUUAUUGGGCGAAAAGGGUACGUAGGCGGUUUUUUAAGUCAGGUGUCAAAGCGUGGAGCUUAACUCCAUUAAGCACUUGAAACUGAAAGAAUUGAGUGAAGGAGAGGAAAGUGGAAUUCCUAGUGUAGCGGUGAAAUACGUAGAUAUUAGGAGGAAUACCGGUGGCGAAGGCGACUUUCUGGGCUUUUACUGACGCUCAGGUACGAAAGCGUGGGGAGCAAACAGG
rnacentral:rRNA from 1 species